GCCCGCCUAGCUCAAUCGGAUAGAGCGUCAGACUUUUAAGGCGGGGUGUUCCUCCAACACAAUCUGAAGGCUGCGAGUUCGACCCUCGCGGUGGGCU